AGCAGUCAGUGCUCUUAACCGCUGAGCCAUCUCUCCAGCCCUAGCUGUAUCUUGAGAUCUUACUGUACCCCGGUAUCACACAAUAUGGAUUUUCUUCUUACUCUCUGGACCUGGGUCUGACGCAAGUCCAAGCCAGUCCAAGCCAGUGCAAACGGAAGCCAAAGGGUCUAGGUGGCAGGCUGUCUCUGCUCCGGCCUUCUUGUGAUCCCACUAUGAAGUUACCCAACAUGUUGAAGAAGGGCACAGCCGCAAGACUGGCAGGCUGAGUCCAUCAAAGGAUACAUGGCACACACUCUACUGCCCAUAGGCUGCCAUGAAUCCCACCCAGCCUGGGACCGACAGAGCCCCGAAGACCAAGUCUGGGUCAGUUUGAGGGGGCUCAGAGUCCAUCCCGUAGGAGUGCAACUGGCCCACUGCAAAAAGUCAAAUAGAGUGGGAGAGAGCUGCGUGGCUGUGUGAGUGUGCGGGUGUGUGCGCGCGCACAUGUGCGUGCGCAUGUGCAAGCGCGCGUGCACAUCCAGCCAAGGGACAGAAAAGAGUAGAGGACGUGACAAAGAGAUGGAGGUGCGCCAGCGAGGCGACUACGGCAGAGACAAAUGGGGCUCCAGGAAAGUGCGACAGACAGGAAAUCCUUUUAAACCAGGACACUUCCCAAAAGGGUGCUGCUGUUAUUACUAUUAGUUCAUAGAAAGGAGCAAACAGAGAAGCCGGGGAGGAUGAGGCCGGCUGCCACGCGCCACUAGGCGUGGCUCUGGGCGCUGCUGGCAGCCAUUUUAGACCUUGGCAGCCAUCUUAUGGCUGGCGGCCUUAGCCAGCAUUGCCACAAUGCCGCCACCACCAGCCCCCAACAAGCUCAGCUCAGCUCCAGGACAAAAGGCAGACACACUGGAUGUCUGGAUGUAGACUCACAGGCAGAGGAGCCAGCCCUAGAGCCAGGGCAGCUGCAGCCAGGGUCCUGCAGGCUCUGCUCAGAUGCCACCUCAGCUCACCGGUGACAUACAUCUGAGACUGCAGUUUUUUUGGACCCAGAGGCCCCCCGUAGUGAGUGAUGGGGCCUGGAUCACUACCUUCUGUGAAGAGCAGCAGAGGGGGUUUCUCAGCCACUAAAGGGCAAACACAGACGCACCCAUGAUAUAGGUAUGUCCUCCCCACAGCAGUCCUUAGUAAAUGGUCUGAGGCUGCUCACCACAUGGGGAGGGAUGGGGAAAGACCCCAGGAGAUGGGCAAGGCCAAGAGAGAAGUGGGGAGCACAGGGCUUGCCCUUGGAUUCUGAGGUUCCAACAACCUGCUCUGCCCUCCCCUGCCCUGCCCUGCCCCGCUCUGCCCUGCUCAAUCCUGGAGUGGAGAGAGCUGAAGAAACCAAAAGCACAGACCCUGGCCUAGGAUGGCAGGCACCACCUCCUGCUGCCCGCAGCCCUGCCUUCUUUAUAGACAAACCCACUCCUGGCAAGGUUGGCUGGUGCCAUAGUUUGCCGGCAGCCGUGUCUAGCAUUUCUGAGGGCUUGGAUCCAGGGAUCACAUGACAAUGGGGUCCAGACAUGUAGCCCCUAGCCUAAGAACUGCCCCUCCUCAAGGUGCUGGGUAGAAACCGACAGUGGGGAAUGCUUUCAGUACACCACAAGCCAGAGAAAAGCAGUGUUGGGGAUGGGGAACGUGUGCCCACCCCACCCCCCGCCCCAGUUUGGGACCCGUGAAGCUGAGCCCCGCCCCCACUCCCUCUAUUUCAAGCAUUGCCCUUUCUGGACCUUUGAGUUGCCCAGGCCAGCCUGGGCCAGGCCAGGCCAGGCUGGGCUAGCCAGAUACCCACCCCCAUCCCCAGCUGCUCCUGAAGCUAUUAAUAGUGUUUCCCCUUCCCAGGGCUGGGUAGCACCCCCCACACCCCAGCCAAACACAUUUGCCCUUGGUCCGAUUACUCAGGAAGGGAAGUAGUCAGUCCCUAAUGCCAGCCCUAGGAUGAGAGGGGCGACGGAGGCUCUGAAGGUCACAUAGGUCGCUGCCUGGGACCAGCAGGAGCUCCAAGGAAGAGGCAAACCCUAGCCCAGGAGCAUAAUAUAGAAGGGAAGACCUAGGGAAGGAAUUAGGGCCAGGCCAAGCAGCAUUGUGGGGGGUUGUGGGGAGGCCCAUGCCAAAAGCCAGAGGAAGCCAGAGGAGGCAAAGGAGGCAGCCGGGGAGAAGCUGAGUGAACUGCUUCUUGCUGCUAGUCUAUGUGAGGAAGAGCAUUCGGCAGGGGCUGAGCUGGGACUGGGAGCCUCCAUGCCCACCCACAAGAUUUCAAUGGAGCAAGAGGAGGAGGUAGAAGAGGAGGGGGGAGGAAGAGGAAGAAAAUGUGAGAAGAGAGUCCUCUCAGCUUAGUAUAGAGAAAGCCCCCAAGCUGCAGCCUUUUUACCAUAGGACAUGGAGCCCAAGGGACAGAGAUGGAGGGACAGGACAUGAGCCUCUGCACCUCUGCUACCCUGGGCUUCUCUAGUCCUCCUGCGGCCCACUCCUGUCCAUGAAUGCUGGGGACUUAGUGGAAAGAAUAUAGGAGAGCCCACCUGCCUUGACUCACCAUAAAGGGCAGGCUGCAUUGAAAUCCCCACCCCUGGCCACCUCCCCUCUGGCUGUGGGCAGAAAGAGGGGCAAACACAGACACAUCCCAUAACCAGAUAUUUCAGCAGGACUCAAUUCCCACCUACAGGCCUAGCAGUCCUGUCUUCAAACCUUACCCGCUGGGUACCCUCCGGCUGGGCCAGCACUGGCAGACAGGCCUGAACCAUCAGCCCCAUGAGGCUAAGGCCUCGUGACUGUGCUCACUGCUUCGUCUUUACCACCUCUCAAAGACUCAGAGCCCUUUCUAGAUCCUUCUUGCAACCGUGGCUUCUACCCUGAUGCACCCCUUAGGGGACAGAGCACCGCUAGCUGGCACCUUCCUCCCCUGCUGAAGAUAGGCUGUAUUCCUGUCUCCACCUUUAACCCUGUAAACCUGAGCCGAGCCUCCCAUCAAAGGAUUCGAUGGACAGGAGGAGCCCAGGUUAGGCAAGACAAGAGAGUACUCUGCCCAUGGCCUACUCCUCUGCCACUUUAGAGACCCAAAGGCUGCAAGAGCCAUUUAGACAAGACAUGAAGGACCUGGGAUCUUGACUCUAAGUGUUUGUGUUGUUGGUUUUUUAAAAUAAAAGCUUCUCUGCUGCUA
rnacentral:sRNA from 1 species